GCCAGACUCCUACGGGAGGCAGCAGUGAGGAAUAUUGGUCAAUGGGCGAGAGCCUGAACCAGCCAAGUCGCGUGAGGGAAGACGGUCCUAUGGAUUGUAAACCUCUUUUGCCGGGGAGCAAAAAGCGGUACGUGUACCGCAUCGAGAGUACCCGGAGAAAAAGCAUCGGCUAACUCCGUGCCAGCAGCCGCGGUAAUACGGAGGAUGCGAGCGUUAUCCGGAUUUAUUGGGUUUAAAGGGUGCGCAGGCGGAAGCGAAGGUCUGGGGUAAAAGUGGGGGGCCCAACCCCUGCCCGCCGUUGAAACUGCGUUUCUUGAGUGGGCGAGAAGUACGCGGAAUGCGUGGUGUAGCGGUGAAAUGCAUAGAUAUCACGCAGAACUCCGAUUGCGAAGGCAGCGCACCGGCGCCCUACUGACGCUCAGGCACGAAAGCGUGGGUAUCGAACAGGAUUAGAUACCCUCGUAC
rnacentral:rRNA from 1 species